AAAGGGUGCGUAGGCGGUUUAUUAAGUCAGUGGUGAAAGACGGUCGCUCAACGAUUGCAGUGCCAUUGAUACUGGUAGACUUGAGUAUGAUUGAGGUAGCUGGAAUGGAUAGUGUAGCGGUGAAAUGCAUAGAUAUUAUCCAGAACACCAAUUGCGUAGGCAAGUUACUAAGUCAUAACUGACGCUGAUGCACGAAAGUGUGGGUAUCAAACAGGAUUAGAUACCCCUGU
rnacentral:rRNA from 1 species